rnacentral:rRNA from 1 species
CACGUAGGCGGCCUGUUAAGUCGGAUGUGAAAGCCCACGGCUCAACCGUGGAACUGCAUCCGAUACUGGCAGGCUCGAGGAUGGUUGGGGUGAGUGGAACUCCAGGUGGAGCGGUGAAAUGCGUAGAUAUCUGGAGGAACACCGGUGGCGAAAGCGGCUCACUGGACCAUCACUGACGCUGAGGUGCGAAAGCUAGGGGAGCGAACG